ACGUAAUUAAAUAUUUUAAAUAUACAUAAAUAAAAUAAGUAUACAAAGCUAUAUCGCACAAAUAUAUAAAAAAAUUGUAUAUAAUAUUAUUUUAAGGUUAUAAGGACGUGUUAUAAAGCCUAUAAUGAAAAGUAUUUUAUUAUUUAACAUAAGAAAUAUUACUAUUAUUAUAUAAAUAGAUGUUACACUCCGGGCCUGUCCCAUCAGUUGUGGAUAACGCUAUUUGACGGAUGACGAUACAAAUAGACUUUGACAGCGGGAGGCAGAAUAGGCCAGUAGGACCUGAUCCUCCUCAAUUAAUAAACAGCACCUUUUAUUUGCAAAUAUAUAUUAUAAAUUUCUCAUUUUCAUUCAGUGGAAUUCGAUGGUAAAAGAGAAUAAUGAAUCAAAAACUUUAUACUGUCAAUUAUCGUCAUCCGUCAAAUAGCGUUAACCACAACUUGUGAAACCGGUCCUAAUUGUCAUAAAUAAUAAUUCAGUUGCCAUUAGGAAUAUAUAGAAAGUAUAAUUUUUGAUAUAUUUCAAUAGAAUUAAUGGACAAUUGAAUAAAGAGAUUAUUAUCAGUACCUUUUAUGGUAAGAUUUAUGAUAAAUUCAGAUAUUUUUUAAUCUUUUGCUGAUUAUGAAUUUCUAAAAAUUUUGCAAUAUUUUUUUAAAAUUAAAUUCUAUUAAAAUGUGUCAAUAAAUUCGUGAUUUUCUAGAAUAAGCAAUGUUGAUUGAAAAAAAAAUGUGAUAUUUUAUAAAUAAAUGGUAUUACAGUUAUAAAUUAAAUGUUUUGACUGCCUUCAUUUUAUUAGUACCGUAUAAAUGACUUGAUAUUACCAUGUGCCUUAUAAAAAAAUAUUUUUAAGAAUUUUGACAAUAAUGUUGAUAUAUACCUACUCUUUUAUAGAAUAGAGAUAACUCUUUGUAUUUAUGAGUUCAAGUGAGAGCCCUUAAAUUGAACCACACAUCCUACACACCAUAUACAAGCCAUACACAAAACAUCAGUCAAACAGAAGCAGUAGUUUAGACACGUGAUAGGUUUACAGCUGAACUUAAACAAACAACAAUAAUGACAAUACUACUUUAUUAUUCCAAAAAAUAUAUUUAUAUUUGUACUUGCAUGUAGUUACAAAGUAAUAUCACAGUAUUUAUGUUUACGAUGCCUCGGAUGCCACACUAGUAAAACCUGUGACGGCAUGCAGUAUCAAUCCCCCAGACAUCGACAAUAAGCUACUUGAACAAGACAUGACAUAAUUAUGUAAUCAUACAAAUGAGAUAAAUUAUAUAAAUAUAGCUUAUAAAUGGUAUAUAGUAUAUGUGGUUCAAUUUAAUAGCUCUCGCUUGUCUGAACAAAACGAAAGACUUGAAUCAUAAAUUGCUUCUAUAAAAUAUUAAUAACUAUAAAAAUUUACUCUCUUAUGAUCUUACUGGACAUUAUUAUUGUAUACCAUAUUAUAUUUCUAGCAUAGUAAAAGUUGUAAAAAAAAUAGUUUACAUAAUUGGUUGUGUAGUGGGAAAUUGAAAUUGUUCGAACCAUAGUGCAUUUCUUCUUAUAAUAUUUUUUUUUUAAUUUUUUCACUUUUAAUCUAUGUAAGAUUUAAAAAAAACACUAAAAAUGAAAGACGAAUAAUUUAGUAUUCUUACAUUUAUUCGUAUAAUAUUAAAUAUAAAAUUUAUUAUAAAAUUGAGGCAAAAAAGUUGACGUCUUUUUCUUAAAAUAAAAUUUUCUUCCAUUGUCUUCCAUAAUAUGACAUCUUCAUAUUCUGAAAAUUCAUCAUCUCCUCUGCAUGCUUUUGUUGAAAUUGUAAUAAUAUUUAAAUACAGACACGAUUAUCCGAAUCUCAAUUAUUCGGAUUACUGAUUUUCCGAAAUCGUUAACCAAAAGUCAUUCGAUUUUUUUUUGUUAACUUAACGAUUUUCGAUAGAAAUCAAUAUGGACGCUGAACAGUUGAGUUUUUACUAUAACUUGUAUUUGUAAAAUACACAAAGAAAUCCUUAGUGCCUUCGUACAUUUAUAUCAAGGUGUAAUUUUCAAAACUUAUCAUUUCCAGACUUUUAAAACAAAAUUUUCCGGACGCUUCUACUGAAAAUUGGAACCAAUUUAAUAUCUUUUAAACCAAAUCUAAAAUAAUAUAAAUUCCUUAAACAUAUAUUUUAUUUCUAGUUAGUAUAUUAAUAAAUUUUGUAAUGAUUAUUAGUGAAUUAAAAAGCUAUUUUUAUUUUAUUUUUUUAAUCACAAAGGAGUUUAUAAUGUUUUAGUAAAGUGGAUUUGACUAGUUUUGAAAACUACCUGAUAAUGAGUAUUUUAUUAUGUAUAGUUUGAGCGGUGCACGGUCUGUUAGUUACCGUUGGUGCCAUUGAUGUUGAUUCAUUGGUAUUAGAUAUAGUAUUAUUUUUCGAAAGUAAGUUUUAAAUAAAUAUUGAAAAUAAAUAACUUUGCUUUUAUUUUUAAUUUCGUCCCAAAAUAAUUAAAUAAAACAGCAGUGAUAUAUCGCAGGUUGAAACAAUAAAUUAAUCAGUCUUAUACUUAGAAAAUAAAUAAAAGGUAAUUUUUAUUCUAUUAUAAAAUAAAGUAAAAACUUAUUUAAACUUUAUUUUAAAUUACAGAUUAUUAAAAAUUGAAAUAUAAUUAAAUCAUAUAUAUUUACAGAAUUACACUUGAGUUAAAUAUUAUUCACAAUAAACACAAAAUUAUGCUACUAAGUAAAAAACUAUUUAUACUUGAACC
rnacentral:misc_RNA from 1 species